AUUGAACGCUGGCGGCAUGCUUUACACAUGCAAGUCGAACGGUAACAGGUCUUCGGAUGCUGACGAGUGGCGAACGGGUGAGUAAUACAUCGGAACGUGCCUAGUAGUGGGGGAUAACUACUCGAAAGAGUAGCUAAUACCGCAUGAGAUCUACGGAUGAAAGCAGGGGACCUUCGGGCCUUGUGCUACUAGAGCGGCUGAUGGCAGAUUAGGUAGUUGGUGGGGUAAAGGCUUACCAAGCCUGCGAUCUGUAGCUGGUCUGAGAGGACGACCAGCCACACUGGGACUGAGACACGGCCCAGACUCCUACGGGAGGCAGCAGUGGGGAAUUUUGGACAAUGGGCGAAAGCCUGAUCCAGCAAUGCCGCGUGCAGGAUCAAGGCCCUCGGGUUGUAAACUGCUUUAGUACGGAACGAAAAGCCUGGGGCUAAUAUCCCCGGGUCAUGACGGUACCGGAAGAAUAAGCACCGGCUAACUACGUG
rnacentral:rRNA from 1 species